CCACGGUAAUUAGCCACAUCAGGCUGUUCUCUCAAAACGGCAAGUUCAGGCGAAUUAGCCCAGGUGAUUGAAAGAGCGGUUGUCGCUGGCAUUAGGCCAGCUCUUCAGGAUCAAACUACACCAGGCAUAACGACGGAACAACCGCCACACCAUUGCCCUGGGUACCAGCAGAAUUUCAUCGAGCUCAGUGACCACAUCACUGAGAUCAGCAAGUUCUUAAAUAAUGCAGGGCAAUGGAACGAUCGUUACCCAGAUCUGCAAAAAACUUUGAAUGCGCAAUCAGCUGUUGCUAUAAUGGAUGGUAACCAUGGACACCAGAACUACAUUUCUAAAGACGACGUAAAAUGAGCUGUCAUUAAAGACCACAUUGACAGAAGUUAUUUCCAGACCAAACUCAUGUGGGAGCACAAGAUCUAAAGAAGAAAGCUUGUACAAUUGAGUGAUGAGGAAUUGGAUUCUGCAGUAUCAGAUUAAAGCAGAACAUCCUCAUGUGGACAACUGCGCUCCAAAGACAUUGUGGUGCAGAGAUAGCAUUUAAUAGAUUCAAUCAAAGUUGGUUCAGGUGGUGUUCAGUCUAGGGGGAGAACAACAAUAUUUCUGUGUGUUUAUUCUCUGCUGUGUCCAAAUUUCAAGUGGCAUGUGGAUGGUAAUCAAACUGAUAAGAAGGAAAGUACAGUAAGAUGCUCAUGUUUCUCCAGUGCUCUUGACAACAGUCGGGCUGAAACCGU